CACGUAGGCCCCAAGCGUUGUCCGGAUUUAUUGGGCGUAAAGAGCUCGUAGGCGGUUCAGUAAGUCGGGUGUGAAAACUUUGGGCUUAACCCAAAGCGUGCAUCCGAUACUGCUGUGACUUGAGUUCGGUAGGGGAGUGGGGAAUUCCUAGUGUAGCGGUGAAAUGCGCAGAUAUUAGGAGGAACACCGGUGGCGAAGGCGCCACUCUGGGCCGAAACUGACGCUGAGGAGCGAAAGCAUGGGUAGCAAACAGG
rnacentral:rRNA from 1 species